ensembl:lncRNA
ACUCCUCUGCGCAGGCGGCGUUCCGUCCUCCAUCUGAAACACUCGCGGUCCCUGGAGCUGUUCCUGACCUGUGCCCUCGGGCCCACAUAGGGAGGAAACAUUCAUUUCUCUAGCUCAGAUGUCCCGUGCAAGCUACAGGGACCAGGGCUCUGCACACGACUGAUGAGGCUGCCGGAAACUUCCGUCUGAUUUCGAGUCUCCUACAGCAAGAGUACCCUAAAAUUUCCUGAUGGUCCAGGCUGGGUCAGACUUGGCUCCCUUUGGUGAAGAUCUUCGCUCCAGGGCCGGGCCCACAGAGAAGCCUCUGUUUGAGACAUUGCUGGUUGACAGAGGGAUAAAGAGAUCGUGGUGAAAAAAUACUGGCUCUUAAAGCUUCUCCUUGGAAGUCUCAUCAGAGGAGCAGAAGGUGUGACUUCUCUCCAGGGAAGGGCUUGCCUGCAGGGAGGGGCAGCAAGUAUUUUGGAGACUGCAGUUCAUCGCAGUGAUCCGGGCUAAGUGUUUAGUGAACAGCAGCCUCCAGUGAGUGCAAGUGCCUCUUGAUCGCCCCAAAGCCCAUCACUCCGUCAAGGGUGGAAAUGAGGCUGUGACUCAGAUCGCUCAAAACCCAGCUCAGCGUGCAAGUCGCUGACAGCUUUCCUUUCAUCUUUCUGCUCAACGUUUGUUUCAGGACCGUCGGUCAAUGCAGUCGCUGUGCCACGUGUACGGACUCUUCCUAAGGGUGAGGGUGAGGCUGGUCCUGCUCCUUCCCUUUCCUUUCCUCUCCUUCCUCCUCUGCCUUUAACUCCUCUUGUCUCCUCCUCCUCCUUCUUCUGCUUUUCAGCAGCCUUUGUUAUAAGCAGUCUUUGCAGCUUUCAUUUUGAUUCAUUAUUUUAUACUACACAUCAGAAAGUCAUGUGUCUUUAACUUUUUUUUUAUUUUUAGUUUUAUUUAAUUUUACUUUUUUGCCCACCUCCUGUGGCAUGUGGGAGCUUAGGUCCCCAACCAAGAAUCGAACCUCUGUGCCCUGCAGUGGAAGCACAGAGUCGUAAC